AAAGUCGUAACAAGGUAUCCGUAGGUGAACCUGCGGAUGGAUCAUUAACAAUAGUAUUUAUACUUAUAACACCUGUGAACUGUAUGGGACUAAACCUCCCACUUUUAUUAAUUAUUUUAUACUGAAAACAUGAUAUAUAACAAAUCAUAAAACUUUUAGCAACGGAUCUCUAGGCUCUC
rnacentral:misc_RNA from 1 species